ACAUCAGUGUAGAUGGUGCUGAUUUUAAUGGCUGUAUUUCUUUAAAUAUAUACAUGUAAUAUAAUACUUGAAGCAAAUACCUAGAAACCACAGUUACUAUUUAAAUCAAAUUUAACAUGUCUUUCCAGCUGUUGUUAAAUAGUGACAUUUUUAGAAAGCAGUUUGUUCUUUGAAAUUCCCACCAUAUUUCAUUCCCUAUCAAUACAAUAACGAGGCUAUUCCCAUUAUAAACCAUCAUGUGGGGAACAAAAGGCCCCUCCCAUCUGUUUUUUUUUUUUUUUUUACUAUGGUGUCAACUAAUUCAUUCACUUUCUAUUGGCACUAUGUUGCUUUGUGAUUGGCCAUACGUGGUGAGAACCAGCAUCACAUUAAAUCAGUGGGAAAGUUGGCAUGAAGUAUUUAAAGGAAGGUCUUGGUGGUUGAAAUCAUAACCCUGAAACCCCCACAAAGGCCCUGAUCUCACAUCUGACUGAGCGUCCAUCAUGAGGAACCAGCACACAGUCAUGUGUAAGAUGAGCAUUUUGGAAAGAAAGUGCACAAACAAAGCAGAAAGGCUCCGCUCAGCUCUGGAGAGUCAAGUCUGUACAGGGAUGAGCAAUUCGGACGUAUGGGACAGGACGGUCUCCUUCUUCACCAUUAAAAGGGCCUUCAUUUUCCAUAAAAGCUUCACCAGGACCCCCAGGGAAGUCAUGAGGCUGCUCCAUUCCCCUGCGGAGGAUGUGAUGCCGCUGUGCUGCCAGUGAAGAAUGGACAAAUGAUAAAUUAUAUGGAAAAUGGUGACUGUAUUUGGAACAGAUGUUUCACUAAGGGAGAAGGAAAGACUUUUAUGGUCACUAAAUUCACCUUAUUAGGUGUAAAUUAAGGAAAAGGUUGAGGAUCAUCAACUCUAUGACCUUGAUGCUUCACAAAUGUGCAUUCUUUGCCUUAAUCAUACUUUAAAGUGAUCAUAUAAAGACCCUGUCAUUAAGAUUUUGUUUGAUUUAAAAUGAAAGCCAUAUUCCUUUCAUUAAAAGGAUAAUGUUUAUGCCAAUGCGUUCUUUAACAGAAAGUAUAAACCAUUGAGGGCUCCAGACCUCAUAUUUGACAUAUCUUAUUGUAUGUCGCCCACUAGAGGCAGGAAAAGACCUCGCCAUUGAUGUGAUAGAAGGAUCACUAGUUGCAAAGUGUCGAGUUAUAUUAUAUUAGCUGUGAAAUGAAGCUAUAUAAAAUAAUCGAACUGAAUUGAAAUGGAUGAAAACCCCAAACUGUGUUCUUUCUCAGUUUGCUAUUUACAGAGAAAACUGGUAUUUCUAAAAAGAUAUUUAUAACAAUGUGAUUAACACACAUAAAAAAUACAGUUUCGUUAACUAGACUUAUUUGUUUGAGGUGGUAAAAAAGAACCAAAGUCGAUCAAAUAAAUGUCGAUGCAGCAGCAUUACUGAAUGUACCGAUUGUUGACAUCCUUAAAAUGUCACAGCUUAUGUUUACGAAUUACAAAAAAAUUUAAGGAUAUUAUGUGUUGCUUAAAAUAAAUCAGUUUUAAUACGAAAAUGUUGUUUAUUAUACUUCAAGUAAAGAGGUAAACCGCUUUUGCUCCAGUCUGCUUAAAAAUCCCCCAAUUAACUAUUGAAAUGAAAUUAUAAACACAGUAUUUGGUUUCUUCAAAUGAUCUUUCUACAGCAGUCAACCACCACCACCAGAGUAUGAAACACACAGGGCCUUGCAUACCCCUGGAAGGUUUUCACAUUUUGUUUCACGUAUUUAAUUGGGAUUUUGAUGGACAGACAGUAAGCAACAGAGAAUAUCUUUGCAGUGGAAUGACAUUGGCACAUGGUUUUAUUAAUUUGUUUUUUUACAAAUAAAAAUCUGUGUGUUGUGCAUAUGAAGUCCUUCCGAGUGGAUACUUAGUUGAACCACAUUGUGGUGCACUUAAGUCUAUUGGGGGCAUCUCUACCAGUUUGAUGCAUUGCUGUAGCUGAAGCUUGUCCCAUUGCAUGGAGAGUGAACAGCAAUUUUAAUGUCUUGCCACAGAUUUUACAGUAAACUAAGGUCUGGGGUCUCAUUUAUAAACAUAGCAUGCACACGAAACGAAAUCUGAAACUGCCAAACGUCACUUUUAAUGCAAAGGUUGUGAUCUAUAAAAAACUAAUUUGAUGGGUGCCUGUACUUCCUGUCAUUCCCCAAAAAUCAGAGAUCUUCUGGUCUUCUCUACCCUUGCAGUGUAUUGAUUGGGUAAAAUGCCCUAAAACUCUAGUGGCUGAGCACUAAUAACACAGCCUCUUGAUGACAAAAUAUGCAUAAAAUGCCACCACACGUUUUUUACACGAUCGCGCGUUGAGAUUCACAAUGCGUGAAUAUGGAUGAUCCUUUUGACCCUUUUGGCUUGCUAUAGGGAGGUGAAGAAUUGAAGCCACACAGCAUCAUGAUUCCUCUCAGACAUUCAAUGUCAACUUAAAUUCUAAAUCAAAGUCAGCAAAACCUCUCAAAGUUUUCUCACCAUCCUCUCCUCGUGAUCACCAGGGUUUUGUGUACCACAGAUUAACAUAUAAAUUGUGACAAGGUGUGAGGCUAUAUAACUGCUGGAAACGUUUAAAUGCCGUGACACUCGUGGGUAAUGCUGCGAGAAGGAUGCAUCGACCCUUCUGGAAGAUGACAAAAUAUGCAGACUUUGCUCUUGGAUCUAUGUGCUGAACUGGGUCCAGUAUUAGGGAAACCAUUACCCACGCUAUCCCUGCUGAGUUAUAGGUGUUAAUCUGGGGUUCUUGGCUCUUACCAGCGCAAAUUAGCUGACAGGUAUGUGUUUAACAUAAUCAACAAUUAAUUAACCAUGUAUGCAACCACUUUUAGGAACAACAUAAUUCUGUGAAAUUAUCCAUUGGUCUGAAAUUUCGCAGUUAGCCCUAAGCGCACUUUUAGAAUAGACGCAAUGGUUUUUCAAUGAGACCCUGGACAUUAGGUUAUGUUUUCAUCACACAUUUUGAAUGUGGGCCCAAAUAUAAAAUUUUGGUCUCAUCUGACCAGAGCAUCUUCUGCCUUCUUCUGAAUCUUGCUGUUGACAUUUACGGGAGUUUUUAUGGCUUUUUUCAACAAGUACUUUCUUCUGGCCACUCUUUCAUAAAGUCCACAUUUGUUGAGUGCAUUACGAUCACUAUCAGCAGAUCCUGCCACCUGAAUUCUGUAUUUCUGGAGCUCCUCCAGAGGUAUCAUGGGUCCUUCUUGGUGGCUUUUCUAAUUAAUACUUUACUUGGUCACCCUGUCUGUACUACGUCUAACUAUCCCAUAAAAGAUCAGCAUAAAAUCCCAAUAAAACACAUUAAGGAUUGUGGUUAAAAUAUGACAAAAAGUGUGUAAAGUGUAAAGGGGAGUGAAUAUUUCUACAAAGAACUGAAAGGUUUUCCCUUUAAAUGUGCAAACAGAAGCCAAAACAGAAGAGGUUACCCUUGAUUCAGACUGAACUUAUAACAGCUUUAUUAAUUAUAUGCUAACGUCAAAAAGCAGACAUUCAGCAACAGUUUAAACAUUGCAGCAGCGGGAAAAGCUAAUCAAUUAUGAACUGGGGAAAGUUUACACCAUGCACUUAGAUCUGAAGAAUGACAAAGUUUUCUGUCAUCUGCAAGUGAAUGUGUUGCUGAGAGUGAAAAUCAGAUUUACUUCACUUUAAUUUCUGCUGUAAUUGUCAAAAUAAUGGGAAGUGGCCUCAGAAAUUAAGGAAACCAAACCAAACAACACCAUAAGUCAAAGAGGAAAGUGAUUAAGCAUGUAAUGCAGGUAUGUUUUAUUGUCAUUUUAGACAUGACUGAUAUCUCAUGGCAACAGAUGGAUGCUUUUAUAAAUUUACUUCAAAAAGACAGUAAUCUAUGAGAGAUAUUAAAUCGAAAUUUGUUCCAUUUUUAAAUCCUGUUUCGGUUUUGAUGUUGGUAAAACAAACCUAAGACAUUUUUAUUUUCCCGCCCAUCCCUCAAAUUUCCAGUUAGAAUCCAAAUAUACUUGUAGAAUAAACAGCAGAGGAAAAGGACAGGCACCACAACCAUGAGACUAUGAAAGCCCUCUGCCAAUUUAAAAAACCCUGACCACAAACCAACUCAAAGCAAACAAACAAAAAGGAAAAUAUAAAAUCAAAUGCCACUCCUAAUAUGGGUUGGGUCAUACCCCAGAAGUAUUUCGGUUCCUCUAACGUUGCACCCCUGAAUUUGGGGGAAGGGCUUCAAAGUCAAAAACAGAAUUCACAAGUUAUUUCUGCCAAAUAAAAGCUAAACAUCUGAGCGUGAAUGUGAUAAUAC